GACCGAAGAUGGAAGCUGCGUCUGUGGGCUGGAGCGUAGCACACAGAGGAGGAGUAAUAAGAGGGUGAAGACUCCCAAGCAAUGGCGAUUUCCAUUUUCUCAGAGAUCAGGGAGAGACUGGCUAUUGGGCAGGCAUCUAAUUGAUGACUGACGAAUAUAUAACGUGGGGCUCCUAAGAACUAGUCAUGAAUGUCAAAGAAAUCACGGGGUGAACCAGGAGAUGACUUCCCAAGUUAGACAGUGACUGUGAUGCCCGUUCCACCCCUCGCUGCACCCCCAGCCCUGUGCAUCCCUAUCUCCAGAAAGAAGAGGGUGCCAUCUGCUUUGCUCCAGUGUGUGGAAGGUGAGUGACAGCCCACAUGCAAUUCCGGAGCUUUCGGGAGAAGGUGUGAUUCUGAAGCUCCACACCAGACAUGUACAGUAAAUCAAUAAAGCAACUCACAUGCUUCAUGACUGGGUGCAGGCAUAGAAGGAGAUCAGCUUACAGAGAAUAAGUUCAAGGUGAAAGCACAUCUCCAGUGGCAGGUGAAAGUGGACAGAACUGCACUGUCCCAGGCUCGAAUCUCAUUAGCAGCCAACUUGAUAUUUUUAGAGAGGGGAAAAAAAAAAUCACACGAAAUUGAUGUCAUGGUGAGAACUUUCAACGAAAUGAAUGAAGCGAAUGAAGAAAAUUGUGCUGGGUCGGUGACCCCCAAAUACUUGGAUCCACCCUCCUGCUCCUUUGGGGCUUAGGGUGAUGUUGUGGGCUCCUGGUACCUUUGGCACUUCUUUAAUACGAGAUGGAUAGGAAGUUCCAACAGAGAGCUUGGGCUCAGGGUGGAGAGGAAGGAUGCAGUGAAGAUAAGGAAACUCAAGGAUGCUGGCCCUACAAGGCUGUUCUCUAAACCCAGCCUGAGUUAUAAAUGAUCAAGUAAGGGGUUUUCUCUUUGGCCCUGAGGCUAUUUCAUUAUGGGGUGGGGGUAGGGGGGUGGAAUCUUGCUGUUCAGAGCUUCAAGAUUAGAAGUUUUGAAACUUCACUACUUUCCCAGCUGAUCCAGCAAAGCAUGAUGCUCUUUGUCCUAUGAAAAUAUAGGACAUAAUUACCAUGCUUCCAACGUAGGCAGUGUUGCCUUGUGUAUAAAAUGGGAUUAAUAUUAGUACCCACCAAAGUACCUUAUAAAAGGUAGCCAUGAGCAUGAAAUGAGAUAAUUCAUAAUGGCAGCCUCACAUAACACAAGGUCGAUGAACUUUAGCUGUUGUUGCUGCGGUUCUUGUGGAUAUUAUGGCCAUAUUUCCAUAGUAAGAAUUGUCCUCAGUCAUGAUACACAGAAGGCAAGCAUAUGAUAACACAGAGAGUGGAUGAGAGGCCGAAUGGGGACAUUUUUAUUGUGUCACUUCUGUUAACCCUAUACCUCGAGGGCUGGGGAACAUCUCCCAUCUUCCUUACAUUUUCACUCAGUGGUUAUCUAAUCCCAUUGAAAGAUAAUCUGGGAAAACUUUAAGAGCAAAAAGGUCCCCAAAGGUCUGUUCGAAGACUGAAUGUUUGAGUUAUUUUGUUUAUUUUAUUUUUAAUUUUUAGGGGUAAACUUGAAGAAAUAGUGUCAUCCACGUAGGCUUGGCAGCAGUGUUACUUGUGACAACUAAUUUUAUUAUUAGCAACAAAAGAAGCAGAACCAGGACCUUUUUUCCUGCCAUCUGCCUCCUUGGGUCCCUGAAUUUGCUCUUUCUCCCCUCAUUCCCUAGAGGGAGAUGAUUAUCUGUGAGUGAUUUCCAUGGUGCAGAAUUUCCUUCCAGAGUCUCCAUGCCCACGAUGGUUGUCUUAAUUUGUCAAAUUCCAGGAAAGCAUCUGACUAUAGCCUGUUAUUCACAGAUUUCUAGAUCUACUGGGAUUUGAGAGUAUCCCCCAGGGUUUUCUGCAAUCAACAUAUAUAAUAGUACCAGGACUAGGUUUAGAAGCUGAAAACAUGGUGUGGCAUUAAUUUGGGCCAUUUUUCCAAACCAUUAUGCAUCGGUUGACCAAAUUAGCUGAAUGUGAUGUGAAUUGAUUAAGGUGGCUAGAUGUACUAAUUGAUUGUACUGAAACAAAAAUCCUUUUGAUUGGAUAGGUGCAGACCCUUUUGACUGGAAAGAUACACUGCACUGUAGAGCUGUUAUGUCCCUGCAGUGACUUUAUUUGGCUCACAUGUACUGGCCAAAGGUGAAAGGUGAAAGGUGAAAAGUAGGCAAAGGCCAUUCUGCUUUAGAUAAUGAUAUGGAAUGGGUGUCUGGUAUGGAUUGUAGAAAUUUGUGCCCAGGCUCGGCCAUGAUCGAUGUCAACUGUCACUAAAGUGGACAAGAUGGUAAAAAUGAAGCAAAGGCCAUGAGGAAAAAGGAUGUGUUUGUUGUCCAUGGGAUGUUCUUCCAAGGGCCUGCUGCCUAGUACAUACUGUUCUUUCUCAUUCCAAGUCACUGAGAUAAGUGAAAAACAAAAAUAAACCCUGGAUACACAGUCGAUGGAAAUGCAGAGACAAGAGACGAGAGUACAAUCCAGAAAGGCUUGCCGAGUCCAGUUUUAUCAGAAUCUUAUCAGAUGGGCCCUCCAUCUCCUGGCUGUGGGGUUAAGCAUAUUGUGCUACGGUCGACCUCCCUGGGCUCUGGGCCAAGCUCACCGGUUUCAUCCCCUGGCUGACAGUGGGCAGUUAGAUCCCCUCACUUCUCUGCCUCUCAGUGUAUCUCAUCAGUGAAUUGGGUACAAUCGACCCUAUCUCACAGGGUUGUGUUAAGCCUUUGCUGAGAUAAAAUUAUGUAAAGCACGUGGCGCAGUGUCUGACACAUUGUAAAUCUUCACCUGUAAGUUCUUGUUUCUCCUCAUCACCAUUCUCAUGGCGGGAUGUCCUCCCUCUUCCUCAUCUCGGGUUUGUCUUGACUCCUCCAGCCUCUUCACACUGAGGCUCAGGUCCACUUCCUUCCAGAAGCCACUGUGCCGCCAAGCUGUUUCCAAGGGCAGCUUCCUGCUGUGGAGGCUUUAGGUCAGGUCCUGGCCGGGGAAAGAGGAGCGAGAGCCAACUCUCCCUGAGGGAGAGGCUUGAUGCCUCUGAACUACUGCCAGCAGACCCGAUUCCCCACUGGUAAGAUUAGCAUCUUUGCAGAAUCAGAAUAUGGUAUGAGAAGAAAUAAUUCAGAGUAAAUUAAAUGAUGACUCUGCAAUCAACUUGCAAACUGCCCUUUUACUUUUAGCAAAACAGGGAGCUCUUUUCUGAUGUGUGUCUGGCACAGAUUACCCCAUUUUCUGCUCUCUGGAGAAUAAGGGCCUUUUCUAGAUACUCUCUGCAGAUGGGUUUUGAAUUGGAGCAAAUAAGAGUUAGCUGUUCUGUCAUUUGUAGGAAUUCCAUGGGCUGCAUUUCCUGUGUGAAAGAAGGCAUUUCACGAAUUGUGUUGUUUAGACCAAAGACGCUUAUGGCCAUAAAGGGGGCUCCAACCAACCACUUCAAAACCAGGUACACCAAUGCACGUCCUGCCAAGAGUCCACUCUUUGGCUCUAUUACAAAUUUUUUUAAAAAAUUUGUAUUAAAGUAUAACUGAUUUACAAUGUUCCUUCCAUUUCUGCUAUAUAGCAAAGUGACCCAGUCCACACACACACACACACACACACACACACACACACAUUCUUUUUUAUGUUUCACGCUAUCUUUCAUCAUGGUCCAACCAGAGAGACUGCAAUAGUUCCCUAUGCUGUACAGUAGGAUCCCAUUGCUUGUCCGUUACAAGUGUAACAGUUUGUAUCUAGCACCCCCAAAUUCCCAUCCCUCCCACUCCCUCCCCCCUCGCAACUACAAAUCUGCUCUCCAUGUCUAUGGUCUGUUUCUGUUCUGUAGACAGAAUCAUCUGUGCUAUAUGUUAGAGUCCACAUAUAAGUGAUAUCAUACAAGAUAGAUUUAAAAUAAAGUCACAAGAGACAAAGGACACUACAUAAUGAUCAAAGGAUCAAACUAUUAAGCAAUCUUUAUCUCAACUUGAAAAUGUUCUAUUCUUUUCUCAAUCCACAGCAAUAACCUUGGUGACUUUCAAGAAUCAAUCCACCUUUUCAGUGCUUAAUCCUUCAUGGUGUUAAAAGGUGUUUUUUUUGUUUUGUUUUUUUCUUUGUCUUUUUGCCUUUUUCUGGGGCCGUUCCUGUGACAUAUGGAGGUUCCCAGGCUAGGGGUCUAAUUGGAGCUGUACCUGCUGGCCUACGCCAGAGCCACAGCAAUGUGGGAACCGAGCAGCAUCUGCACCCUACACCACAGCUCACGGCAAUGCCGAAUCCUUAACCCACUGAGCAAGGUCAGGGACCGAACCUACAACCUCGUGGUUCCUAGUCGGAUUCGUUAACCACUGAGCCACGAUGGAAACUCCAAGUUAAAAGUCUUGUACAAGUCUCCUACUUGUCUUAUACUGGUAAGUCUCUAAACCAAAAACAUACUAAAGCAAAAACAUUUGAAAUCUGCUGCCAGAAUUACCAAAAUCAGAGAAUGCACUAGCUUGUGGUGGCUAAUCCUGGCUGCACCUCAGAAUCACCUGUGCUGAUUUUAAAGGGACACCUGGGCCUCAGCCCUAGUAAGUGUGGCCCAGGCCUAGGAAUGGGCACUUUCAGAAACCUCCGCAGGGCUGACGACGCACAGUCAGCCUGCCAGCCACUCCGCUUUUCACUUUGCCACUCCAAGUACCCUCUGGCUCCCAAGGUGAGACAUGCCUCUUAGAAUUUAGGACUGAGAAAACUUUUUUUUUUUUCCUAAUAAAGACUGAUUUCUUUGGAGAACAGACUUGUGGUUGCCAAGGGGGAAGGGGAGGGAGUGGAAUGGAUGGGGAGCUUGGGGUUAAUAGAUGCAAACUAUUGCCUUUGGAAUGGACUAGCAAUGAGAUCCUGCUGUGCAGCACUGGGAACUAUGUCUAGCCACUUAUGAUGGAGCAUGAGAAUGUGAGAAAUAGAAUGUGUACAUGUAUAUGUAACUGGGUCACCAUGCUGUGACCCAGUAGAAAAAAAAUUGUAUGUGUAACUGGGUCACCAUGCUGUGACCCAGUAGAAAAAAAAUUGUAUUGGGGAAAUAACAAUUUAAAAAAAUUUAGGCUAAUAAAACAAGAAAUGUCACAAGAAAUAUUAACACCAAAAAAAAA
rnacentral:lncRNA from 9 species